rnacentral:tRNA from 1 species
GGGCUUAUAGCUCAGCUGGUUAGAGCACCUGACUCAUAAUCAGGGGGUCCAUGGUUCGAGCCCAUGUAGGCCCA